CAGUAGCCACGGUAAUACGAAGGGGGCUAGCGUUGUUCGGAUUUACUGGGCGUAAAGCGCACGUAGGCGGACACUUAAGUCAGGGGUGAAAUCCCAGAGCUCAACUCUGGAACUGCCUUUGAUACUGGGUGUCUGGAGUAUGGAGGAGGUAAGUGGAAUUCCGAGUGUAGAGGUGAAAUUCGUAGAUAUUCGGAGGAACACCAGUGGCGAAGGCGGCUUACUGGUCCAUUACUGACGCUGAGGUGCGAAAGCGUGGGGAGCAAACAGGAUUAGAUACCCCUGUAGUCCCUGUCUCUUAUAC
rnacentral:rRNA from 1 species